GUGCUCACUUCACAGCACAUAUACUAAAAUUGGAACAAUAUAGAGAUUACCAUGGCUCCUGCACAAGGAUGACACCCAAAUUUUUGGAACAUUCUAUAUUCUU
ensembl:snRNA U6 U6 spliceosomal RNA